rnacentral:rRNA from 1 species
UACAUAGGUGGCAAGCGUUGUCCGGAUUUACUGGGCGUAAAGAGCGCGCAGGCGGUCGGAUAAGUCGAAUGUGAAAGCCCCCGGCUCAACUGGGGAGGGUCAUUCGAUACUGUUCGACUCGAAGGCAGGAGAGGGAAGUGGAAUUCCCGGUGUAGUGGUGAAAUGCGUAGAUAUCGGGAGGAACACCAGUGGCGAAGGCGACUUCCUGGCCUGUUCUUGACGCUGAGGCGCGAAAGCUAGGGGAGCAAACGGG